GUUCCUGACCUUAAGUUUGCCUUCUAGGGGUCUGCAUGAGGGUAAUAAAGGGUGGUCUUCUGAUCUCUAAAUGUUGGAGAAAAUUCUGGAGUAAGGACCCGAGACCCGGAGUUGGCUUCCCUUGAGGGGUGACUGGCAGGCAGACACGUGGUUUCUUCAGAUUGUCCAGUGACUAUCUGUUAAAACACACAGAGGUACACACAGACCCACACAAAGAGCCCAGGACAAGGCAGCCAUGCAGCUGAGUGAGCUGGAAGAGGAAAUGGAUCAGAGGAUUCAGGCAGCAGAACACAGGACACGGAAAGAAGAAAAACGGAAAGCUGAAGGAGCUCUUAGUGACCCCAGAUGUCAGUGUGAACGAGAAGUAGGAGAUCUGCAGGUGACCGUAAAAAAACUCAAAAAGUUGUCCAUCAAACCCCCAUUUGCUUUCCAUGGUCUUCGCCAACCAAGUCCCACGUGUCCAGUGACCUGGAUGCUCCAUGACAGAAGGCACCGUCUUCCGUGGUUACAGUUUUAUCCGUACUCCUAGCUCACAGCAAGGUGCAUGGUAGGAUUUCAGUAACUCCUGAAUGAAAUGAAUACUCCGCUUCCAUAUAGAAAGUUCCAGCAAGAACUGGUCAGCAAGAGGGAUGAGAACACUGAGUUCCAGAGAGGCUAAGAAACUUGUUCAAAGGCACGCACACAGCCAUUUCUCCUCUCUGAAUCAAAAUGCAACUUGGAAUCAGUGAUCCUCGAUAGUCAUGUGGCAAUUGUGACAUACUUGUGUGAAGAGCUUCGGUGAAUACUAUGUGGCAAGACGAAGAAGGCUCCAGCAUCAGAGUACUUAGACUUGAUGAGACAUGAGAUUUGUUUUGAUGAACACACACAUUUUAAAUAAAUUGACACCCACAAAUCCCCACAAAUCCCUGGGGAUGGAAGAUACUCCUAAGAAAAGAAUUUUUUGUUCUCCAUGUUUUAGAUGCUCCUGGACUGCUUUAAUCUGCUAGAAGAACAAUCAAAACACAUAAGUCAAAAAGAAGAUGUGGCUGCAUUAAAAAAAAAUUUAUGACUUAUCAAUGAGUUUGUUUGUUGGCUAAUUAUUGUCACAUUAGUUUGGAAUGUGUGAAACUCAGUUUCUGUGAGAACGUCAACCUGGAUGUGGUUAAAAAGCUGUGCAAAAACUGCAGACGAUUGAAGAUUCUCCAUCUCUAUGGUUGUGCCAUCACACAUUACCUGAGGAAAAUACAAGAAACUUACAAAGCAGUCAAAGUACUUCAUGAAAUUUCUGCCCCUACUUGCUAAUAUUUCUAGGAAAAUAGAAUUGCUACUGACAAAGGGUUUGAACCUACACUUAGUUAAAUAUGCCCAGAAAUUUCCUCAUUUAAGUGAGGUAUGAAUUUUUUAUUUAGACAGAGAUAAUCAAGAAAUAAUUGCAUGUUAAAUUUUGACAUCAUAUUGACACAUUUUCGUUAUGCCAAACACCCACCCCUCCCCCCCGGAAAAAAAAUAAAGUAAAAA